UUAGCUUCAAUUUCAAGGUGGAAUGCCUGGUGAGCGUGGGACCGCUCAAAAAGAAACCGAAUGAUGUUAUGUCCUGCCUAAUUUAGCCACCAUAGGUAUUAAGUAUAGUCCUAAAAACACAGUAAUUUAAAAUACUCGGCAAUUCCCAGACAUUCCAUCUUCUAUUUCUUGGUUAAUUAUAGAAUCUUGGUUGAUUCUAUAAUUCUCUUGGUUGAUUCUAUUGUCGUAUAUUGUCGGAUUAAAUUAUAUGUAUUUGAAUUUGAUUCUUACCUAAAGACGUCACCUGACCGUCCUGCAACCCAUACUUCCAAACAGAUAACCUUUUUACCUUGGAAACCUGAGAAUGCCGCAGAGAUAACACUAAAUGAGCCAGAUCCUACAAGAAGAUAACCACAGACUGGGGGACGCCGUACUCACACUAUAUAACGGCUCGUCGCAGCAAGUCAAUUGGGAUUUUUCCGCAGCUCUCGGAUAUGCUGACACUUGCUCACACUUCCUAAUACCAGAGCUACCCCUAACCCUACCAACCCCUAAACUGAUUAAUACCCUCGGUGACUCCUUCCCCCUAAGGAUCCGUGUCUCAUAUAUUCCCUAAAAGGAUUCGUUCCAAACCUACUAUCUUCCUGACUUAUAAGUCACCAUAGCCUUUAGUCCUCAUAGUUGGUUAUCACUCAAGCUGCCCGAUUGUCUCUUCGUCCACCUUCGCUUACCUCGAUGUCAUGAUCCUCCCUACUUCCUACGUACUUGACGCCAUCGUUGAUUGGACAUUUAAAUAAUUUCACCUGAUAUUACUACUUUUACGUUUUGUUGAUAUUGCAUUAUUAUAUUAAAUUGAUUACUACUAUUAGUUCCAUUUCGUUGCAACACCUA